AGCACUUAAGACGGAUUACUUCGGUUUGAAGUCUUAUUUGACUGACCUGGCGGACGGGUGAGUAACGCGUGGGUAACCUGCCUCAUACAGGGGGAUAACAGUUAGAAAUGACUGCUAAUACCGCAUAAGCGCACGGUCUCGCAUGGGACAGUGUGAAAAACUCCGGUGGUAUGAGAUGGACCCGCGUCUGAUUAGCUAGUUGGUGGGGUAAGGGCUCACCAAGGCGACGAUCAGUAGCCGGCCUGAGAGGGUGAACGGCCACAUUGGGACUGAGACACGGCCCAAACUCCUACGGGAGGCAGCAGUGGGGAAUAUUGCACAAUGGGGGAAACCCUGAUGCAGCGACGCCGCGUGAAGGAAGAAGUAUUUCGGUAUGUAAACUUCUAUCAGCAGGGAAGAAAAUGACGGUACCUGACUAAGAAGCCCCGGCUAACUACGUGCCAGCAGCCGCGGUAAUACGUAGGGGGCAAGCGUUAUCCGGAUUUACUGGGUGUAAAGGGAGCGUAGGCGGUUCAGCAAGUCAGAAGUGAAAGCCCGGGGCUCAACUCCGGGACUGCUUUUGAAACUGUUGAACUAGAUUGCAGGAGAGGUAAGUGGAAUUCCUAGUGUAGCGGUGAAAUGCGUAGAUAUUAGGAGGAACACCAGUGGCGAAGGCGGCUUACUGGACUGUAAAUGACGCUGAGGCUCGAAAGCGUGGGGAGCAAACAGGAUUAGAUACCCUGGUAGUC
rnacentral:rRNA from 1 species